UGCUUUUCGGGGAGGACAGGGUGGCCAUCCUCUCCAGGAGGCCUCGUUACUUCAUCUUCUCUCACGAGUAUUGCUGGAGACCUGGAAAAAGAUGGGUCGCAUCAGCAGCAUUUUAACAUCUCGACUCUUGCUGGAAGUCCCAGAAGAAGCAAGGGAGCAAGUCAACCCUUUUCCCUCUCUUUACUUUGGUAGCGUGUUUGUGAAUGUAACACGUGAAUGGCUUUGAAUUCUAUAAAAGUUUAAUGGAUGCACAGUUAUUGAUCUGAAGUAUUUUGUUGUGGAUAGAACACAAGUGUGGAAAACUGGCAAAAUUCUGGUGGAGAUGCAUCAUCUCGUUAAUGGUGACCACUAAAUAGAGGAUUGCUGCUGAAAAGUCACCAAGAAGAAACACUUGCUGUAUGACCCCACAAGGGCUUCUUAUGACCUGCUAUGAACUGCCGUCCUCUUUUAUCUCUAGUGUUCCUCACUGUUGGGUUAACUGAUUUAAAUCACUAAAAUAGCAGAAAACUGAUUACUAAAAUGGCUGAAUAACACUUCCAAUUUAGUGAGCUGAAUCAUCUUGUGGAAAGUGUUUGACAAGUGGCAGAGCCAGAACAAAGGGUGAGGAACAGAACUGACCAGAGAUUAAGGAGAGAAGGGGUUUGAAUUUGGAAAUCAGGGGGAUGGGAAUGCCUUGCCAUUGACAGUAAACAGAUAAGUCAGCUCAGCUGCAGGUCAAGAUGCAGUUCUAAGAGAAAGCAAAAAAUAAACAAAGAACCUCAACAGAUUCUAGAAUACAUUUCCUAGCAAAAACACCUUCUAAGAGUCCAAACUUUAGCAACCUAAUUCAAUCAAAAGGGCUAACACGAUUUUAACAUAAUAUGAGAAAUGGAUUGCUAUUUAUUCUGGUGUAUGGUCUUCAGAUUUUUGUGAAACAUUACUGAGAAGUGGAAAAUCACUAAAAUUCGAUGAAUUACCUUUUAACACCUUACUUGCAGAGUCAUUGAAAAUAACAAGAGUUUUAAACUACUUCAUGUUGCUUGUUAUUUUGAAUUAUGUUCCUUAUCAUAUUGUUCAUGUGUGAAGUAUAUUCAAUUGAUAUAUGUAAAUGAUAUUCCCCUAGGACUUUUUUAGAACUACAAUGUGUAUGACAGAAUUAAUAUUUAAAUAUGUGAAAGUAGUAGAAAAUAAAAGGCUACAAGAAAGAA